GUUUUAACACCUAAGGUGGUGCUUGACACUGAAGAUUCUAGAAUGCAUCCAUAUGAAACUGAUGCUCUCAAAGCUGUUUCUAGCUAUCAGCAAAAAUUUAGUCAUAGCUCAUUUGCAGUGAAUGAUAGGCUUCCAAGCCCAACUCCUUCAGAGGAAUCUGGUGAUGGAGAUGGUGAUGUAGGUGGGGAAGUUUCUAGUUCAUCAACUGUUGGCCACGUUAGACUUGGAAAUCCACAGAUUUUAGGG
rnacentral:misc_RNA from 1 species